rnacentral:rRNA from 1 species
AACGAACGCUGGCGGCGUGCCUAACACAUGCAAGUCGUGCGAGAAAGUUCCUUCGGGAGCGAGUAAAGCGGCGCACGGGUGAGUAACACGUAGGUAACCUGCCCCCCAGUCUGGAACAACUAGAGGAAACUCUAGCUAAUGCCGGAUGAGACCACGAUCCCUUCGGGGGUUGCGGCCAAAGAUGGCCUCUACUUGUAAGCUAUCGCUGAGGGAUGGGCCUGCGGGCCAUUAGCUUGUUGGUGAGGUAACGGCUCACCAAGGCUGUGAUGGCUAGCUGGUCUGAGAGGAUGACCAGCCACACUGGGACUGAGACACGGCCUAGACUCCUACGGGAGGCAGCAGUGGGGAAUAUUGCGCAAUGGGCGAAAGCCUGACGCAGCGACGCCGCGUGGGUGAUGAAGGCC